CUCACUGAUAUUCAUAAAGAGGGCAAUGUUAAUAAAAAGUGAUGUGAGUAGUACAAGAGACUUCUAGACAGGAUGAAGUUUGACAUCAGUUGAACUAAAGAGGGGGGGUUAGAUAGGUGUGUGAUACCAUUUGGAAUAUAAUAUAACUUCCUGUAGCUUUGUGGCAUCACUCAAGAAAAAUUAUAUACACACACACUCUAGUCUGUCUUCCCAUAAAGCUAUGAUACAGUUAC